AGUGAACGCUGGCGGCAGGCCUAACACAUGCAAGUCGAACGGCAGCACAGUAAGAGUUUGCUCUUACGGGUGGCGAGUGGCGGAGGGGUGAGGAAUACAUCGGAAUCUACUUUUUCGUGGGGGAUAACGUAGGGAAACUUACGCUAAUACCGCAUACGACCUACGGGUGAAAGCAGGGGAUCUUCGGACCUUGCGCGAUUGAAUGAGCCGAUGUCGGAUUAGCUAGUUGGCGGGGUAAAGGCCCACCAAGGCGACGAUCCGUAGCUGGUCUGAGAGGAUGAUCAGCCACACUGGAACUGAGACACGGUCCAGACUCCUACGGGAGGCAGCAGUGGGGAAUAUUGGACAAUGGGCGCAAGCCUGAUCCAGCCAUGCCGCGUGGGUGAAGAAGGCCUUCGGGUUGUAAAGCCCUUUUGUUGGGAAAGAAAAGCAGCAGGUUAAUACCCCGCUGUUCUGACGGUACCCAAAGAAUAAGCACCGGCUAACUUCGUG
rnacentral:rRNA from 1 species